CCCCACAUAGUCAAGCAGUUAGGAUUCCUGGUUUUCACCCAGGCGGCCCAGGUUUGACUCCUGGUGUGGGAA
rfam:Erinaceus europaeus unplaced genomic scaffold scaffold00008, whole genome shotgun sequence